CCAGCACCCCGAGUGGUCGGGACGAUUAUUGGGCCUAAAGCAUCCGUAGCCGGUUUUACAAGUCCUCCGUUAAAUCCAACUGCUUAACAGAUGGGCCGCGGAGGAUACUAUAAGACUAGGAGGCAGGAGAGGCAAGCGGUACUCAGUGGGUAGGGGUAAAAUCCGUUGAUCCAUUGAAGACCACCAGUGGCGAAGGCGGCUUGCCAGAAUGCGCUCGACGGUGAGGGAUGAAAGCUGGGGGAGCAAACCGGAUUAGAUACCCGGGUAGUCCCAGCUGUAAACGAUGCAGACUCGGUGAUGGACCAGCUUCAUGCUAGUCCAGUGCCGCAGGGAAGCCGUUAAGUCUGCCGCCUGGGUAGUACGGUCGCAAGACUG
rnacentral:rRNA from 1 species